rnacentral:rRNA from 1 species
AGAGUUUGAUCCUGGCUCAGGAUGAACGCUGGCGGCGUGCCUAAUACAUGCAAGUCGAACGAGAGAAUUGCUAGCUUGCUAAUAAUUCUCUAGUGGCGCACGGGUGAGUAACACGUGAGUAACCUGCCCCCGAGAGCGGGAUAGCCCUGGGAAACUGGGAUUAAUACCGCAUAGUAUCGAAAGAUUAAAGCAGCAAUGCGCUUGGGGAUGGGCUCGCGGCCUAUUAGUUAGUUGGUGAGGUAACGGCUCACCAAGGCGAUGACGGGUAGCCGGUCUGAGAGGAUGUCCGGCCACACUGGAACUGAGACACGGUCCAGACACCUACGGGUGGCAGCAGUCGAGAAUCAUUCACAAUGGGGGAAACCCUGAUGGUGCGACGCCGCGUGGGGGAAUGAAGGUCUUCGGAUUGUAAACCCCUGUCAUGUGGGAGCAAAUUAAAAAGAUAGUACCACAAGAGGAAGAGACGGCUAACUCUGUGCCAGUAGCCGCGGUAAUACAGAGGUCUCAAGCGUUGUUCGGAAUCACUGGGCGUAAAGCGUGCGUAGGCUGUUUCGUAAGUCGUGUGUGAAAGGCGCGGGCUCAACCCGCGGACGGCACAUGAUACUGCGAGACUAGAGUAAUGGAGGGGGAACCGGAAUUCUCGGUGUAGCAAGUGAAAAUGGGUAGAUAUCGAGAGGAACAAUUGUGGGGAAGGGCGGGUUCCUGGACAUUAACUGACGCUGAGGCACGAAGGCCAGGGGAGCGAAAGGGAUUAGAUACCCCUGUAGUCCUGGCAGUAAACGGUGCACGCUUGGUGUGCGGGGAAUCGACCCCCUGCGUGCCGGAGCUAACGCGUUAAGCGUGCCGCCUGGGGAGUACGGUCGCAAGGUUAAAACUCAAAGAAAUUGCCGGGGACCCGCACAAGCGGUGGAGUAUGUGGCUUAAUUCGAUGCAACGCGAAGAACCUUACCUGGGCUUGACAUGUAAUGAACAACAUGUGAAAGCAUGCGACUCUUCGGAGGCGUUACACAGGUGCUGCAUGGCCGUCGUCAGCUCGUGUCGUGAGAUGUUUGGUUAAGUCCAGCAACGAGCGCAACCCCUGUUGCCAGUUACCAGCACGUGAAGGUGGGGACUCUGGCGAGACUGCCCAGAUCAACUGGGAGGAAGGUGGGGACGACGUCAGGUCAGUAUGGCCCUUAUGCCCAGGGCUGCACACGUACUACAAUGCCCAGUACAGAGGGGGCCGAAGCCGCGAGGCGGAGGAAAUCCUAAAAACUGGGCCCAGUUCGGACUGUAGGCUGCAACCCGCCUACACGAAGCCGGAAUCGCUAGUAAUGGCGCAUCAGCUACGGCGCCGUGAAUACGUUCCCGGGUCUUGCACUCACCGCCCGUCA